GAAAGGUUGUUUUCUUUCGCUGCGUUCGCCCCCCCUCCCUGUCUCGCUCACUGCAUUCGACUCACAUGCUGUAGUUGCACUAUCGCUUGCUGGCUGAAGCUUUGGUGUACCUGCGAUAUGUGAAGUGGUGGGAACGGUGCAGCAACGCAGAACGCAGAUGUAAUGCUGCUUUUCUUUUCCGCCUUUGUCGCUUUCUAUCAGUCUGUAAUCUGUCGGACGAGCAACCACCGGUCAUACGAGGUGUGUGGACUGUUUUCUUAUUAUUUCUUUGAGGCUCCUGUGCGACCACCGGUACCCUCGUCAUCGCUGCCUGCUCCCCCUUUCUUCCCCCUGCUCGCAUCUGCCUUGGAAUCAGUCGCUGCUCUGUUUUCCUCUCUCUGCACUCGUCUCAUCCCUUAUCAUCGAAAAGGGCCGCCAGGAAAGACACGGCAGAUAAAGGGCACGCGUAGCGUCACACGACUCGUGUGAAAGGUGUCUGUGUGUACACUAUUUUUUUUUUUCGUUCAUCACUUCUUUCCCUCCCUUUCGUCUGCUCCCCAGACGCCUCACCUUUCUCCCUCACUGCAUCGUUCGGGUCGUCCUUCGAAGGGGAUCUCGCUUGCUCUCUGUGUAAUCUGCAGCAGAGCCGCGUGUCUCCCUUGGGCAUCGUGCGUGUGUGUGUGUCCCUAUCGGUGUCCGUUUUCCACCCCAGCAUUGCUUCCUCCCUUCGUGUCUCUUUUCCCUUUGGGGGAUUUCUUCUUCACUCUGUGCUGUUGCUGUUGCACUUCAUUUUUCACAGAUAGAGUAGCUCUUGGUAGCAGUAGCUGCCCGCAUAGACCCCCCCCCUUUACGUCACCCUCUCCUUCCUUUUAGUCUCUCACCCCCUCCUGUUGGUUCGCCGCCCCUCCUCAACCUCACAAGCGGCACGGAAACCGUUGCCGUCCUCCUCCUCUUGUGUUUCCGCAACAUUGCUUGCUUUUCAUUUUUGUUGUUGCUGUCGUUGAGCAGUUGGGGCCAACCGCGCUUCGGGGACGCGACACGCAUACGCGCACGCACCCUCGGCCAGAAGCACACCGACGCAUCGUAUGGAUACACGGUGCUGCACCCCGCCGUCGAUUGGCGGCGGUGAUGAUCUCUUUUUAGCCUCCUGCCGGCAUCAGCUGUUCGUGAACGAGGAAGACGAUCACGAGGCGGAGAACACGGCGCUGGAGGCGAGUGUGACCUUGCGACCGUCCGACAGCUUUCCGCGUCUCUCCCAAUCGCACGCAUCUGAGGAGACUCGGCCGAGCGACCCACUCGACACCAACGUGGAGCUUCCCUCGCCCAUUCGCCUGCCACGCUCUCCGCGACGCGCCUUUCAGCCUAUCCCGAUCAACCUCCCCGGCGACAACUGCUUCGGCCGAACCGCCUUUCAGGGCUGGCCAGUGGAAGCGACUGCCAGCGACGGCAUCACAAGCACACCCUGGCGGCCCCCGACCACGUCGGGGCAGCCCAGCGCCGCCCCCGCAGCAGCACCAGCAGCCCAUGCGAGCAUGGCACAUCUGCAGACACCGGAAGUGCAGCGCACAAACUACGCCGUGGCCACUCCCAACAUGAUGGGGCACCUCCUCUACACGCCGCAGAUAUCGCCGGUGUGCCAGGCCUGGCGAACCAGCCUGGAUACCGAGCUUGACAGCGUGAACACACGCUGGGCAGCCGACCAGCUGCCGUCCCUUACAACGCUCAUCGACAACGCCCUCUACGUUGGCGGCUUUCCAGAUUCGCAGACGGUGCCGCAGCUGUACGCGCUGGGCAUCCGCCACAUUGUCAACUGCUGCGCGCAGGACAUUCGCACAGCCCCAGAAGUGGCUGAGAGCUUUCACCUGCACUACUUCGAGUCAUAUGACUCGGAGGAGUACUUGAUUCUCCACCGCGACUACGACGCGUUCGCUGGACUGAUGUCCACCAUUCUAGAAAAUGGAGAGAAGGCCUUCGUGCACUGUAUCGCCGGCGUGAAUCGCAGUGUCGUGCUGUGCGCGGCGUACCUCAUGGACCGUCUCUCGCUGAAUCCGGUGGAAGCGGUUCGUGUGUUCCGUGCCAAUGGUCGCAUGCGCAUCUUGGACAACAAAGGCUUCCGCCAUCAGCUCAUUGACCACUACCUGCAAAGCAUAGAGCCACAGAACGCAAGGGUAGGGCUGCUGUAAAAGGAAGAGACGGCCAAGUGUGAAUGCUUCUUCUUUUAGCUUCUACUGUCGGUGACUUUUGCUUUCUUUCGCCCUCCCCUCCCCGUUGGCGGCAGUAGUUUCUCCUGCCUAUCACCCUCUCAAGGCGCGUUGCGAACCGUUUGUGUUGAUUCGCUGAUACUCAAGCGCAUCUGCUGCUGUUUCACCGUGCUGAAAGGCGGCACCACUCUCCUCCUCACCUUCACUCGCGCGCAGCGACGGACGCUUGUUACAUUGCCACGCACACGGGAGAAAGUCCACUCCGUAAUGCGCGCACCGAGACGUCGUGCUGCGCUUAUCGUGUCUGCUGCCUCCUCUCUCUCAUGUGUAUGUGUGUGUGUGUGUGUGUCGAUGCUGAUUGCUGCCGGAUCGUUUCGUUUUGGUUUCGUUUCUCUGGUGCUGUUCUUCUGUGUUGUUCCCCGCCCCCCCCCGUGGUCGACGUGUCUUGUACUUGCUGCCGACGGAGCUGUUCUUUUCGAUGUAGUUGGUAGAUGGACACACAGAUGCGUGUGUGUGGUUGUGUGCCCCCUAGUCGCCUCUUUGGGCCCUUUCUUGGUUGUUUGGACACACACACAUACACACAUAGACACUUACACGGUCAAGAGAGAAAACAACGCAAAGGGAAGGGGGUCUGAAGGAAAGACGCGUUGUCACCGGCUCUCCACUCACAUGCUCGGUGGGUAGGAGAGGCAUGUGCGGUCGCAGAAGCGCUGUGUUGCUACGGCUGCUGAAUGUGCAACCCGUCUGCGUUGCUUCGCGCCCCCCCCUGUAUUGUACACUGGUGUGCGGGAGAUGCUUGCUAGAGAAAAGCAGAGGUGUGGGUGUAUGCUCUCAGCGCUGUUGUUGGAGUCUUGCGUCUUCAUUGUCGAAAACUCAGAUGAAGCACACAGCCAUGCAGUCAGAGAGGACAGCGUGUGCGCCUGUGGUUCCUGGUCAGAUCCUUUUUGUUUGCAGUUUUUUUUUUUUCGUUUUCGUUCUCCCGGCAUUUUUCCCACUCACCAGCCGCGCGUCUACUCCACGGGCAGCAAAUGCGCGUAUGCACGCGUAUAUCUAGACCUCCAUGGAGCCUGACCCGAAGUCUGGCGUUGUGGUUGCUGUCGUUUUACGGCUCAUUUUCCUCUUGUACAUUUCUGUGUCUUCGUUCUUGCCAUCUACUUUGUUUCCACUACUCUCUCGUUCUCGCAGCCCCGAUCAGAAG
rnacentral:misc_RNA from 1 species